CCCCUUCCCAUGCCCGAACUUCUCGCAACCCCGCUGGGCUCCCACUGUGCCGGUGGGCAGCGGAGGACAGAGAAGUGUGCCCGUUCCCCUGCUCUCAUGGUGCCUCCCUAAGCUCGCGGGUGCCUUGUCACAGCGGCCGCAGGGCGGCUCGUACGGCGGGACGGGCACGGACACUCCGGGGCGUGUUAGCCACAGCCUUAAGAUGCAGGGAAGAGAGGCAGCCAGGUCCUGGGGACAAAAGAGUGGGAAUGGGGAAAAAAGUCCAUUACUCAUUACUUCCAUCAUCCCAGGACUCGGGUGGUUCUGUCAAAAUGAAGCAGCAGCGCCCGCACGCAGGAAUGCACCGUCAGCUCCAGCCUCUGUGUCAGGGCAGCAGUUUCCUGCAAUGCCUGUGUGAGUUAGAGUAUCUUGGACUGUAUCUCCAAGGCUUGGUGACAAAAGUGCAGCAAAGUACAUCCAAAGUAUGGAUAUACCAUGCAUUGAUCAACACACAGACUCAUCUAGAACUACGGAAACUAGACAAAAGCAGCAAAAUGCCUGCAAGUUAAUCAGAAUACACAGGGUCAUUGCAAAUCUUCAGAUCCUACUGCAUUGUUGGUCCUCAAAAAGUUGUCCACAGCACAAAGGAAAUAUAUGAUCUGAUGUGGAAUAAUACAAGCAGGUGGCAUUGGCUGAGGAAACUGAAAUCACAGAAUCUUCUGAGUUGGAAGAAACCCACAAGGAUCAUAAAGUCCAACUCUUCAAGUGAAUGGCCCAUAUGGGGACCAAACCCACAACCUUGGUGUUAUUAGCACCAUGCUCUGACCAGCUGAGCUAACGUUAUUCCUCCUCAAAUCUUUUAGGCAGCAGUACCUAUGAUGGAACUGUUGGAGCCAUUGGCAGCAGAAAUAUCUAUUCUGAAAACCUUUAAGGCAACAGCCAGGUCUCCCCACUCCAGGACAAGACUGAUCCUUUCAAGGGAGAGAUGAAGUUAUGGGACAGAGUAAAGGUGUCUCUUUUGGGGGCAUACUGAUAAGUCACCCAACCUGACAGUCUUGGAUCCUUGUACCAAGCAGCCAAAGCCAAGAGACAAUGACUUGAAGCAAGAAUCAAGAAUCUGAGGUCAAGUCAGGCCAAAAUUAAUAACCAAAGGCCUCAUGAGGACAAGGACAAUACUCAAUUUAACUAGAGCCAGGGUGAAUGUCAUAAUAACCCAGAAAGGCACCAAGCACUAUCUAGGAAGUAGAGUCCAGGCAAGAGCAGGACUGGAGCAGGACAGGUGCUGUGAGGUGCAGAAGACUAGAGCAAGCAGGAGCUGCCAGUACAAAAGCAGGGAUUUGGAUAGAACAAGACCAGAUCAAAACAUUGAACAGAAUAGAAAUGAGGAGAGAGAAACUUUCCCUAAAGUCUUGUCUGAGACACACACCAGAAACCACAAGUUCUAACCUAACUGUAGCUACCUAAAGGACUGGGAGCCAAGCCAAGCCAAGCCAUAUCAAGAAUUUCUCUAACAUCCAAAAAUGUUGCUCAUGAUAUAGGGCACUUUGCAUACAUUUCUUUCUAGGUAACUUUUAAUACUAAGGCUAGCAAAAGCCAGCCCCAAAACCUCUAGCAGAUACAUGUCAAGGCACAGUGUCAUGAUAUGCUGCCUUUACAGCAAUGCCCAUUCUCGCUAUUCCAUCUGUUUCUUCCCAUUCCUACCAUUCUGCCCCACUGAUGACAAGUAACACAGCCACUGGCUCACUCUCUUUGAAGCUGAGAAUUGAUCAGAUCUAGAAAAUGUUUUAAAAUGCUGGUCCGGUUCCCUGAUUUCAUUCACAACAUAACCAAACAAACAUUUGUACUACCACAGCUGAGGAAUCAGCACAGGGGUAAGUAGAUUCCUACAGGCAAGGAGGAACACUAUAAACCUGUGUUGCCAUCACAGCCAACAUACCAUCAGAUCAUAACUGGACAGUGCAGGAAGAAAUAUCAACUUUUAUCAAUCUUUAAAACUAUUUGUCAACAAAAAUAGUAGUAACAUAGAAAAAAGGAAACAAUGCAAGAUUUAUAUCCAUGUCUGACAGUAAGACCUGAUUUACUAGAAGACUCUUUUGCCAACUUCCAUGUAGAAACUGCCACAAUGUCUUACUAGAAAAUUAGAUUCACAUAUGCUGGAUUAAAAAUAAUAAUGUUCUAGAGAAAAAGGAGUUUGGCUCUUUGAGAAUCUAUUGGCAAUAUCCUUCUGGCUGCUCUGUGUGCAACAACAAGCCUUUGGUGUCACUUUAUGCAUGAGAUGGUCCUGGUUACAAUCAUUCAGGUUACAUAAGCACAGAUGUAAAAAUAACCAUCAAAAGAUCCUUUAAAGGAUGAGACCUGCCUAACAGAGUAGCUGUUGAGACGCACUCAUUAUAAAGGCUUCAGGAGUGUCCAGGAAAAAUCCCCAGUUUACCUCAAAGAAGUCACCUGAACCACACACAAACUACAAGGUUCCAAAA